AUUUCAGGAGCCUGCACACACGCUACAACAGCCCUGGGCGGGAGCAGCUCGGACGCUCAGAGGGUCUCCGACGGCCGGGACCCCGCUCCAGCUCGGCUCACCCCAGCUCCUCACUGCCCCAGACCCCCGCCUCAAGCUCCCCACCCCCACUGCGCCGCUGCAGCCGGGCGGAAGGCAGGGUUGGCCUCCACGGCGACCUCCCGGAGGGCAGUCCCUGGUAGUCCCCAGCAAUUCAACGCUGAUGUAUGUGAACCUCUCCAGAGACCUGAAUGGACUUACCUCUCCAUUCUUCAAUCUCUCAUCUGCCCUAUCACAGAAGAAAAGCAAUGAAAGCAAUCCACAGAAAACCAUACUGGAGGCCAAUUCCACCUGCAGCUCCCUAAACUCUCUAAGGAACUUUUUCUCCCUUACUGUUAGGGAUUGAACAGAGGCCAGAAGCAUAAGCUCUACCACUGACCUACACCCGCAACCCUAUAAGGAGGCUCUGAAAGUUGCUAUUGAAGUCCUGUUUUUCUUGGGAGUAACAUCUGUAAAGAAAGCCAACUCAACAACAGAAGCCAUCAAGAUUUUCUUCUGUUCAGGCCCCGAGACGUAGUUAUUUUCAUCUCUGGCUAUUGUUGCUACUGCCUCUUAUGUAUGUAUGCUGAAGCAAUGUAAGAAUACCAUAAUGAAUAAAUAGUUCUUUUUGUUUCCCAAUUCCAUUUGCAAAUUACAUAUGGAGCUUUUUUUAAUUCCUGAGAAAAACCUUUACUAGAUCUCUUUCAGAAAGAAAAUCAACAUCCC
rnacentral:lncRNA from 1 species